rnacentral:rRNA from 1 species
UGUGUAGGCGGUUCUUUAAGUUUGUCGUGAAAUCUCCCGGCUCAACCGGGAGGGUGCGGCGAAAACUGAGGAGCUAGAGUACGGGAGAGGAAAGUGGAAUUCCUGGUGUAGCGGUGAAAUGCGUAGAUAUCAGGAGGAACACCGGUGGUGUAGACGGCUUUCUGGACCGUAACUGACGCUGAGACACGAAAGCGUGGGUAGCAAACAGGAUUAGAUACCCUGGUAGUCCACGCCCUAAACGAUGCAUAUUUGGUGUGGGUCAUUCAGUUGAUCCGUGCCGGAGCUAACGCGUUAAAUAUGCCGCCUGGGGAGUACAGUCGCAAGGCUGAA